GACGAACGCUGGCGGCGUGCCUAAUACAUGCAAGUCGAGCGGACGAAUCGAAAGCUUGCUUUUGAUUCGUUAGCGGCGGACGGGUGAGUAACACGUGGGCAACCUGCCCUGUAGACGGGGAUAACACCGAGAAAUCGGUGCUAAUACCGGAUAACACGAAAUGUCGCAUGACGUUUCGUUGAAAGACGGCGCAAGCUGUCGCUACAGGAUGAGCCCGCGGCGCAUUAGCUAGUUGGUGAGGUAACGGCUCACCAAGGCGACGAUGCGUAGCCGACCUGAGAGGGUGAUCGGCCACACUGGGACUGAGACACGGCCCAGACUCCUACGGGAGGCAGCAGUAAGGAAUCUUCCGCAAUGGACGAAAGUCUGACGGAGCAACGCCGCGUGAGCGAAGAAGGCCUUCGGGUCGUAAAGCUCUGUUGUUAGGGAAGAACAAGUAACGCAGUAACUGGCGUUACCGUGACGGUACCUAACGAGAAAGCCACGGCUAACUACGUG
rnacentral:rRNA from 1 species